AUGUCUCUAAUAUGGGUAUACAUUUGGCCUUAUUACUCUCUCUCCUUGCUGCCUCUCUCUCCUUGCUGCCUCUCUCUCCUUGCUGCCUCUCUCUCCUUGCUGCCUCUCUCUCCUUGCUGCCUCUCUCUCCUUGCUGUCUCUCUCUCCUUGCUGUCUCUCUCUCCUUGCUGUCUCUCUCCUUGCUGCCUCUCUCUCCUUGCUUCCUCUCUCUCCUUGCUGUCUCUCUCCUUGCUGCCUCUCUCUCCUUGCUGUCUCUCUCUCCUUGCUGCCUCUCUCUCCUUGCUGUCUCUCUCUCCUUGCUGUCUCUCUCUCCUUGCUGUCUCUCUCCUUGCUGUCUCUCUCCUUGCUGCCUCUCUCUCUCUCCUUGCUGCCUCUCUCUCACUCCUUGCUGCCUCUCUCUCACUCCUUGCUGUCUCUCUCUCACUCCUUGCUGCCUCUCUCUCGCUCCUUGCUGCCUCUCUCUCGCUCCUUGCUGCCUCUCUCGCUCCUUGCUGCCUCUCUCUCUCCCGCUCCUUGCUGCCUCUCUCCCGCUCCUUGCUGCCUCUCUCUCACUCCUUGCUGCCUCUCGCUCCUUGCUGCCUCUCUCUCGCUCCUUGCUGCCUCUCUCUCGCUCCUUGCUGCCUCUCUCUCACUCCUUGCUGCCUCUCUCUCUACUUGCUGCCUCUCUCUGCUGCCUCUCUCUCUCCUUGCUGCCUCUCUCUCCUUGCUGCCUCUCUCUCGCUCCUUGCUGCCUCUCUUUCGCUCCUUGCUGCCUCUCUCUCGCUCCUUGCUGCCUCUCUCUCCUUGCUGCCUCUGUCUCCUUGCUGCCUCUCUCUCACUCCUUGCUGCCUUUUUCUCACUCGCUCUCUCUCCUUGCUGCCUCUCUCUCCUUGCUGCCUCUCUCUCACUCCUUGCUGCCUUUUUCUCUCUCGCUCUCUCUCUUUGCUGCCUCUCUCUCACUCCUUGCUGCCUUUUUCUCUCUCGCUCUCUCUCCUUGCUGCCUCUCUCUCUCUCCUUGCUGCCUCUCUCACGCCUUGCUGCCUUUCUCUCUCUCGCUCUCUCUCUUUGCUGCCUCUCUCCUUGCUGCUUCUCUCUCACUCCUUGCUGCCUUUUUCUCUCUCACUCUCUCUCCUUGCUGCCUCUCUCUCUCUCAUUGCUGCUUCUCUCUCUCCUUGCUGCCUCUCUCUCUCUCCUUGCUGCUUCUCUCUCUCCUUGCUGCCUCUCUCUCUUUCCUUGCUGCUUCUCUCUUACUCCUUGCUGCUUCUCUCUCCUUGCUUCUUCUCUCUCUCCCCUUGCUGCUUCCCUCUUGCUCCUUGCUGCUUCUCUCUCUCUCCUUGCUGCUUCUCUCUUGCUCCUUGCAGCUUCUCUCUCUCCUUGCUGCAUCUCUCUCUCUCCUUGCUUCUUCUCUCUCUCUCCUUCCUGCUUCUCUCUCUAUCCUUGCUGCUUCUCUCUUGCUCCUUGCUGCUUUUCUCUCUCUCCUUGCUGUUUCUCUCUCUAUCCUUGCUGCUUCUCUCUUGCUCCUUGCUGCUUUUCUCUCUCUCCUUGCUGUUUCUCUCUCUCCUUGCUGCUUCUCUCUUGCUCCUUGCUGCCUGUCUGUUUGUGCAUAUUUUGUUUGAGUUGGGAGCAAUUCCAUUCCAACUCCUGUCAUUGGUUGAACAUUGCCACCCAACCCUGCCACCC
rnacentral:lncRNA from 1 species